AUACGGAGGAUCCGAGCGUUAUCCGGAUUUAUUGGGUUUAAAGGGAGCGUAGGCGGACGCUUAAGUCAGUUGUGAAAGUUUGCGGCUCAACCGUAAAAUUGCAGUUGAUACUGGGUGUCUUGAGUACAGUAGAGGCAGGCGGAAUUCGUGGUGUAGCGGUGAAAUGCUUAGAUAUCACGAAGAACUCCGAUUGCGAAGGCAGCUUACUGGACUGUAACUGACGCUGAUGCUCGAAAGUGUGGGUAUCAAACAGGAUUAGAUACCCUGGUAGUCCACACAGUAAACGAUGAAUACUCGCUGUUUGCGAUAUACAGCAAGCGGCCAAGCGAAAGCAUUAAGUAUUCCACCUGGGGAGUACGCCGGCAACGGUGAAACUCAAAUGAAUUGACGGGG
rnacentral:rRNA from 1 species